AUUUGGCCAGCUAGCUGUCCAGCAAAGUGUUUUCUAGGAAGGCAAUUUCAAACAGCCUUCCAGCAUUUAAAAGUUUUUGUUUCCUGCUUUAGUCUAGUACAGCUUUAGACAGUCUCCAACGGGCUGGCUGGACCAUGUUUUUUCUUAUGUCAGGCAGGGUCAUGUACAGCUCAGCACAUCUGAUCUCCUGAGCAAAAUGGCUGCUCUCUGUAUGGGAUUGCUGGGAGUUUCACCUCCCGGAGACACACAGCCCCUGGCGCCUGAGGGAAAGGCACACUUUCCCCAGCUGUGGGCCGGAAGAGUGCUCCCUCUCUUUCUCAUCAGCCUCUAUCCCCUCAGAGCCCCUGCAGAACAUCAGCCUGCCUUUCCCUUCUGUCUGGGUGGCGGUGGCUAAUUUUGGUGCUAGAAAGACACUAAUUACAUCCUGCGAUGCCAGACCUGACCCUGGGGCAGUCCUUCACUGAUGCACUGCGCAGAUGGGGAUGGGUAAGGCCUCCCCUCCCUCAUGGCGCACCAAACUAAGUUACAUGGAUAUCUGCCAGCACUAAAGCUGAGAACAAUAGGGUAUGAUAGAAGGAAGGGUGGUCUGUGAAUCAUUGGCCACCAGAAGAGGUACUGCAUUUUUAGUUGUAUUUUUAUUUUAUUUUCCUGUAAAGUAGGCUUUAGACACUGUGAUCACCAGAGAGCUGCAACAGACAUUCCAUAAACAAUUAUGUGUUUUGAGAAUGACUACAAAUAUAUAUUAAUGAAAUCGUUGAACGUGUAUAGAAUUACCUCUACUUGAAAUGCUUUAAUUGAACAGUUAAGAAUGAGUUCAGUCAUGUUUCUGAGGCAAGGCACAAGGCCGCCUCACAGGUGCGCCCUAGCUCAGCAGAGGUCAGGUGCUGCUGUUCAGCACAGCCCCACACAGCUGAGUGCCAUAAUGGGCUACGUAUAUAGGUGGUGCCUGGGCUUUUCUACAGUUCUUUGCUUUUGCUGUUGUCUGGAAAGAAGUUUCCCAAGCAGUACUGCCCUCAGUCCAGGAUCCUUGCUGAGGCUUUUCCAGAGGACAUCUAAGGUGCCAUCAGUGUACAUCUCCACGCACUCCUCUUCCCCUUUGCCAGAAGGCUCAUGUGAAUACCAGUUGGUAUAGCUCAGAUCAGCACCGUUCAGGAACUGGAAUUUGCCUGGGAUUAGAGAUUCCUUUAUCCCUAGGUUCUGGGAAAAUGAGCCCAGGACUUCCCUACUGCAAGGUCAGUGUGUGAGGAUUUUCUACUGCUUGUCCUUUUCUGAGCUGCCACUGCCCAAGCCAGCUACUGAAACGGAGUGGCAGCAAAAGCACUUUCUGAAGAAAUCCUUCUUGAUACUAGGGGAUUUGAAUCAUGGUCUUCGUGGUUUCUUGGCAUGACAUCAGUAGAGAUGUAGUUUGUGUUUGAAUUGAUUGAACUCCCAUUCCUACCUGCUCCCCCCAAAUAGUAUUGUGUGAUCAGUUGUGUGGGAGAUGACAGGUGGCCUUUUAACACAACAAUGGACAUAAUUUUAUGAGAGAAUGUGAUGCUUUAGGAAUAAAAUGCAAUUUUAGUAUCUUAUAUAUGUUUUUAUAUGUUUACGUAGAUCAAAUACAAUGCUUAUCAGUGUUUUACAAAGAAUGGCUUCUUUCUUAACUAAGAAAAUUAAUUGCAACCAGUAGUGUUAAUGUUUUUAUAAAGAUGGUUAAACAUGGAUGCUAAAUGUAUUAAUGCAUGCUUCACUAUGACACAUCGCUCUAGGCUUUCUGGGAGAUCCUUAUAAUUCUAGGAAAUACUCAAGUCCCAAGACCAUCACUGGUUCAGUGAAAUCUGUUCAUGUCCUUUAAGGAAAAAGCUAUUAAAUACUUGGAAAUGUUUUCACUAUGUUUUCAUAGUGUUUUCAGCCAAAGGUAAUUUUAUCUUCAGGUUUUUUCCAAUAUCCAAACCCUAUCUUUGGAAUUUUCC